rnacentral:pre_miRNA from 14 species
CCUUUGGAUCCUAGUCUGAAAAUGAAAGAUCCCACGCAGAGAGACCCUUACUCAAGUCUUGGGAAAUCGCGGACCCCAGACACAGAGAGAUCA